rnacentral:miRNA from 1 species
UCUCUCUCUCUGUUUCUGUUUCUCUCUCUCUCUCUCUCUCUCUCUGUGUGUGUGUGUGUGUGUGUGAGAGAGAGAGAGAGAGAGAGAGAGAGAGAGAGAGAAAGA